rnacentral:rRNA from 1 species
GGAAUGAGUACACUUUAAAUCCUUUAACAAGGAUCCAUUGGAGGGCAAGUCUGGUGCCAGCAGCCGCGGUAAUUCCAGCUCCAAUAGCGUAUAUUAAAUUUGUUGCGGUUAAAAAGCUCGUAGUUGGUUCUGCGUGCCGCGCUGUCGGUUCGCCGCCUGUCGGUGUAACUGGCAUGUCGCGGCAUGUCCUGUCGGUGGUGAACGGAGUCCAUAAUGCGGCAAAGGCUUUUUAGCCGAUGUUGUCAUCGUGUGCAUUCCGUUGGCCGAUCUCCUACUUCGGUGCUCUUAAACGAGUGUCGAGGUAGGCCGACACGUUCACUUUGAACAAAUUAGAGUGCUUAAAGCAGGCUGAAAUAUCUGCCUGAAUAGUGGUGCAUGGAAUGAUAAAACAGGACCUUGGUUCUAUUUUGUUGGUUUUAGGAGUGCGAGGUAAUGAUCAAUGUGGACUGGCGGGGGCAUUCGUAUUGCGACGUUAGAGGUGAAAUUCUUGGAUCGUCGCAAGACGCACUAGAGCGAAAGCAUUUGCCAAGUAUGUCUUAAUUGAUCAAGAACGAAAGUUAGAGGUUCGAAGGCGAUCAGAUACCGCCCUAGUUCUAACCAUAAACGAUGCCAGCCAGCGAUCCGCCGAUGUUCCUUUAAUGACUCGGCGGGGAGCUUUCACCCGGGAAACCAAAGCUUUUGGGUUCCGGGGGAAGUAUGGUUGCAAAGCUGAAACUUAAAGGAAUUGACGGAAGG